ACAUGCAGUCGAGGGGCAGCGGGGUGUAGCAAUACACUGCCGGCGACCGGCGCACGGGUGCGUAACGCGUAUGCAACCUACCCAUAACAGGGGCAUAACACUGAGAAAUUGGUACUAAUUCCCCAUAACAUUCGAAGAGGCAUCUCUUUGGGUUGAAAACUCCGGUGGUUAUGGAUGGGCAUGCGUUGUAUUAGCUAGUUGGUGAGGUAACGGCUCACCAAGGCGACGAUACAUAGGGGGACUGAGAGGUUAACCCCCCACAUUGGUACUGAGACACGGACCAAACUCCUACGGGAGGCAGCAGUGAGGAAUAUUGGUCAAUGGACGCAAGUCUGAACCAGCCAUGCCGCGUGCAGGAUGACGGCUCUAUGAGUUGUAAACUGCUUUUGUACGAGGGUAAACUCACCUACGUGUAGGUGACUGAAAGUAUCGUACGAAUAAGGAUCGGCUAACUCCGUGCCAGCAGCCGCGGUAAUACGGAGGAUUCAAGCGUUAUCCGGAUUUAUUGGGUUUAAAGGGUGCGUAGGCGGUUAGAUAAGUUAGAGGUGAAAUCCCGGGGCUUAACUCCGAAAUUGCCUCUAAUACUGUUUGACUAGAGAGUAGUUGCGGUAGGCGGAAUGUAUGGUGUAGCGGUGAAAUGCUUAGAGAUCAUACAGAACACCGAUUGCGAAGGCAGCUUACCAAACUAUAUCUGACGUUGAGGCACGAAAGCGUGGGGAGCAAACAGGAUUAGAUACCCUGGUAGUCCACGCAGUAAACGAUGAUAACUCGCUGUCGGCGAUACACAGUCGGUGGCUAAGCGAAAGCGAUAAGUUAUCCACCUGGGGAGUACGUUCGCAAGAAUGAAACUCAAAGGAAUUGACGGGGGCCCGCACAAGCGGAGGAACAUGUGGUUUAAUUCGAUGAUACGCGAGGAACCUUACCCGGGCUUGAAAGUUAGCGACGGAUCUGGAAA
rnacentral:rRNA from 1 species